AGGGAGGGGGAGAGGAGGGGAUGGGAGAAGGUAUGAGAGAGAGAGAGGGAGCAAACAAUGUCAUUCUGUUCAGGAGGCAUUGCUGCAGUCAACUUUACCACGCCAUGAAGGCACAUCAGCGGCGACCACGCAGGGCUCCGACACAAGUGCAGAGAACUUUUUCCUCCUCCUGCCUCGCCGUCUCUCCUUCUCCUUGUGUGAGAGCCAUACUCUGAGGAAUCACCUGCCGGAGUCAAUGCCAAGGACCACUGGCUCAACUGGAGUGGAGCCAAAAUGGAUGGAUCCAGAUUUCUCCAGCACCUCAGUGUUUGGUAAGUCUGAUUCUGUAUCUGUCCAAUAAUUUAGAUACAACACAGGACUUUGGAAGAGCGUGUCUAGAAGUUUUAAUUUAACGUGGGGUAAAAAACAUGAUUCAGCUUUGUGCUUAAUAUAAAAGGACUGGUCUACGUUGCAUUUUGGAUAAGCUCAGCUGAACUGAUUUAUUUAUAUAGCGACAGUUAAAUGGUGUUUUGUUCAGCAGGACAAUCUACUAAGAUUGUGGAGGCGUACACAAUACUGCUUCGAUUACAGCAUAGUAAAACACACAAACACACACACACACACACACACACACACACACACACACACACACACACACACACACACACACACACACACACACACACACACACACACACACACACACACACACACACACACACACACACACACACACACACAUACGUGCCUUAUUAUAACAUAAUUAUAUGAAUAAGCUAAUAACAUAUAAUGAUAUGAUUGUUUCUCUAUUCUGACCAGUGGUGAAAGCCUGUUUCUAUCCAAGCCGGAUAGACUUCUGCUGCUGAAGCACACACAAGGUAAGAGUUUUCCAUUUAACAAAAGAAAGAAAAAGAUAGAAAUACAGACGGACAAACACAGACAGACAAACAAAGAAAUAGAGAAUGAGGAGGGAAAAGAGAAAGAAAGCUGUAAAUCCAAAGGAGAAACUUCUUUACGAUUCAGGACAUGGAAUAAGUUCUUUGAGGGGUAAGGCCCAUAUCUGGGUAUGUUUCCUCAGAAUAAGGAAAAGGUAUCACUCAAUUUAAAUGACUAAGUUUAAGUUAACAUUUAUUGAGUUAAGGUUGUCCGAUGAACAGAGUGGAACAAGUGUACACAUUGUUUUAUUGAUAUAACAUAGUGUGUGCUAGCCUUGUUGUGAUUAGUAACUGCUAUUGAUGAACAGGAGCCCAUCAUUGUCUUCUAAACAAUGGUCUUGUGUGAACUUUGUACGAAUGUUGGCUUGGUAACAUUUGUAAAUCUGUAGAUAGUUACUGGGGCGACUGUGUUAUGGUAACCAGGUGCUAGGUGCAGUGUUCACAAAUCCAGUGCGAUAACGCAUUCAAGAAAUCAAAUGUUAAUUUAAUUACACCCUUAAACAACAAAAAAUAUACAUUAUCUAAAAACAUCACUUGAUGACGGUGUGUAGUUGAAUGAAUUACAAAUCCCCUAUAGCAAAUGAUUCUAACAUUGCUCUGUUUUGGAACAAUUAUUUCUAAGAUUGGUGGGUUUAGGUGACAUUAACAUAAGCCAUUUAUACUUUUGUAGCAAGAAAGAAAUUAGCUAAUCGCCAUGUUUUAGAGCAUUUUAACUGAUCAUCUUGUGUGUUUCUGUGUCGGUUUCUGAGAAUAGCGCAAAUCAUCCUCACAUAUAGGAAGUGGUGUGCGAUAGGGAGAUGGAGUUAUUAUAUGCUUCUUGAUGAAUGUGCGUCACUGUAUUAUAUAAUCGACUAUGCUUAUGACAACUUUUGAUGCAUCUAGUUAAGAUUGUAUUGCAAACAGUAAUCUAGGAAAGGAAAGUUUGUUUAUUGUUGACAAAGCCUGUCACCAUGGUAUUGUUGCAAAUGCAGCAAUUAAGGGAUUUAUUGCAACAGAAUAUUAAUCUGGGAUCUAAAUUUACUGAACGUUUAAAUUAAUCCUUUUCCAAGUAAGUUCUUUAUAAUUGUUGAAAAUGAUAGUCAUUCACACCGGUUGUUAAUCUUGUUCCUAAAGGUGCUCUACUGCAGGCCUGUAGCUACAGACAGAAAUAUCAUAGUUAACUAAAACCACCACCUUACCGUGCUCAAAUAUACAUUGUCCAGUAUCAUCCACUGAGUCCAACGAUUAUCUCACCUUCACUUUUUUUGAGGAGGAAUGCCGGCCGGCCAUUAAAGAGGAACAAUAACAUUAGAACCACGAGUCAGCAUCGAGCGAGGUUGACCUCUGAUGUAGACCAUAGAUUAUAUUGGCCUACUCUGACCUAAAUCACCGCAGCCUAGGCGGGGGGGGGGGGGGGGGGGGGGGAUUCUCUGUGGUAUUCCGCAAUCCUGUAUUAGGGAUUACAUCAAGCCCUGCGCAGGACGACAUUCCUGCCAUCAUGUGCUGGGUGUAGCAAAGCCCCCCCCCCCCCCCCCCCCCCUCCCAAACUAACCGCAGCCACGAGGCCACAAGGACGCAGGCCUCCAGCAGGCACUGUGCACAUCGCUUCACAUGCUGCCCACGUGCACCACAGCCUCUUCUCUUUGGCAUGUGUUUGUCCAGUGUCCAGCGGAGCAACAGCGCGAGGGCUAUGAUGUACAAUAACAGGACAGUGCAUGUUUGCAGGACGCCCCCGUGUCUGUGUGGAGGAUUAUGAGGAUGUCUCUUCUAGGGGAUGGAUUGCAGUAGAGCCAAUCUAAAGGGAAUGUCUCGACCGUUAGGAGGUCAGGGUCCCCCCCACGUGACACUCUGGGGCCUGUUUGGACGUCUCCUUAAUAACCUCCACACUUCUCCCGCAGUCACCCGUCACUGCGGAGGGCUCUCUAGUAUCUGUUGUCCUGUCAGCAGGGCACACUAUGAACACUAUGGAGCGGUCAGAAGGCCCAGAAUAGCACUGCAGGCAGAGAGAGAGACACACACACACACACACACACACACACACACGAAGAGAGACACACAGAGAGAGGAGAGAGACAGAGAGAGAGAAAGACACACAGAGAGAGGAGAGAGACCGAGAGAGGGAAAGACACACAGAGAGAGGAGAGAGACUGAGAGAGGAGAGAGAGACAGACAGAGAGACACACAUGCACAGACACAGAGAGAGGAGAGGAGAGAGAAACGGGAGAGAGAGUAAGUGCAACUUACAUUCUGCAGCUUUUUUUCAGCCUCGUUCAAAUCAACUCUUUGCUUGGGUCACCGAAGAACAUUAGAAAGCAUAGAUGUAUCCACACACAAACACACAGAAAAACAAGGGCUGAUUCAAUGUCAACUUUAUUGAAAAAUCAUGAGUCAUUGCAAGUCUAUUCUUAGGUCGAGGGUAUGUUUGGCCAAGUUGUGCAGGCUGAAAGCGAUGCUAUCCAAAGUCUAGAUGCCUCGGCUAGGCAUAGGCAAUAGUCAAUUGACUAUGAUAUUUGGAUAUACCCUAUCUGAGUCACACAGAAUGUGCUUAUGCUGCAUAUCAUUUAGGCGUAUGUAGGGUAGAUCUUUUUCAAACUUCAUUAUGCUUUCCUGAUUCCACCACUGUUUUUUAAUCUUUCAGGCCCUGCUCCCGUUUAGUCCAACGCAACUGGAAUCGAGAAUAUCCCACAUGGCUGAAAGUGGACAAUAUUAGCAUAAAGCUGUCAGCAAACAAGACCUUUAAGCAUAAAUGGAUGGUGCUAGACUUGCCUACUGUGGGUGUUUCUCUGGCAGUGUCUUAGCUGGUUGUUGUGAGGAGUGAGAACGAAGCAAUCAGCAAGUAUACUGCCGCAGAAACUCUCGCGAUAUAUGGGCCCUGGAACGGGAGGAAGAGCCAAAGACAAUGGGCCCAAACAAGCGGAACAAGAACAUGUCUUUCAAUUCUCUUACGAAACAAAUAUACAUAUACUAUGAAUGAUGGAGCUGCCACCAUAACGUAACAGGGUCCGUUUUCAGCCUCUAUUGGCCAUGUGAUCGGACGUCAGUAAAAUUAUAUGUUUUAAUGCAAUACUGACAUCUGGUGGUAAGUAAAACUACAACGCUUACUAGUAUGCUGGAGAGCAGCAAAAGCCACUGCCACUUUAAAAUUGUGGCAUUAGUAUUGUACACUUGUAAAAAUCCUGAAUGUAAUAAAAUUAAGUAAAA